CUGGCCUCUUUGGGGUCCGAGUUGUAAUUUGUAGAGGAUGUUUCGGGCACCGCUCCGGUCUAAAUUUCUUGGAACAGAAUGUCAAAGAGGGUGAGAACCCCGUCUUGGACCGGCAGUAGGGCCCAUGUGAAACUCCUUCGACGAGUCGAGUUGUUUGGGAAUGCAGCUCAAAAUGGGUGGUAAAUUUCAUCUAAAGCUAAAUAUUGGCCAGAGACCGAUAGCGCACAAGUAGAGUGAUCGAAAGAUGAAAAGCACUUUGAAAAGAGAGUUAAACAGUACGUGAAAUUGUUGAAAGGGAAGCGCUUGCAACCAGACUUGCGCGCGGCGGUUCCCCCUUCCUUCUGGUUGGGUUAUUCCGCCGUGUCCCGGCCAACAUCGGUUCUGGGGGUCGGUUAAAGGCCCGGGGAAUGUAUCUACCCUUCGGGCGUAGACUUAUAGCCCC
rnacentral:rRNA from 1 species